rnacentral:tRNA from 1 species
GGAGAGAUGGAUGAGCGGUUUAAGUCGCACGCCUGGAAAGCGUGUAUAGGGUCAAACCUAUCAGGGGUUCGAAUCCCCUUCUCUCCGCCA